GAGGGAGGGAAGGAGAAAGAAGGAAGGAAGGGAGGGAGGGAAGGAGAAGGAAGGAAGGAAGGAAGGAAGGAAGGAAGGAAGGAAGGAAGGAAGGGGAAGGGAAGGGAGGGAGGAAGGAAAGAAAGGAGGGCAACUCUACACUCUCAUACACUUGUUCUUGUUCAUACACUUGUUCAAGGACACCAGGAUUCCUUUCUAUCGUCUGCAAAAUAGUACUUAAGGGACUUUAAUUCCCCUACUUCCGGCCCUGUGGACAUAAUGGUUUAAAAUUCCUGGCAAUUGAACCUGGACCCAUACUUUCUUUUUCCUUCUCAUCCUGUGUCAUCGCUCUCCUUGCUGUCAGCACCCUGCCAGGCAUCUGGCAACACAGCUGGAACCAGAGUAUGCCCGGGUGCCACAAUACCUGCCGCGCCUGGCUGAUCCUUUAGAAUCCAAAGGCGUUCAUUUUUAGAGAGGAGCAGUGAAGGCUUACGGUAUCAGCAGUGCUACCUGCUUCGUGAUCUGAACAAAUAACAGGGCGAAGGCCCAACUCUAACUCGGUGCCGUGAUGAAUUACCCAGUGCCUGCUGCGUGCCGGGGGCUGGAGAUCCCCUGCGAGGAAGUUUUUAGCUGGGAACUUUCUGUAAGCUUUCCAGGAAUGAGCCGGAGAGGGAACACUCAAGCUGGGGAUUGCUGAUAAUACACCAGUCACACAGCUGCUCCAUUCCCACAUAAAUUUAGUCCUUGGCUGGUCACACUGACACAUUUCCCUGAAGGUGGCCAGAGGGCUCAUGAAGCCAGCCGGUUAUGAAACACCGAGAAGUAUAAAAGCCUGCUAGCCCUCUGGGCUGUUUUUCCCCUGACAAAGAUGGAGGCUGUGAGCAGGCUUGUCCCCUUGGCCCUUUUCAUCGUGCCGUGUUUGGCAGAGUUCAACUGGACCAAGUCUGAAGGUAGGCUUCAUGCCUAGUGCAGAGCCCAACACAAGGCUCUUGACCCUGAGAUCAAGACCUGAGCUAAGAUCAAGAGUCGGAUGCUUAACCUACUAAGCAACCUGACUAUGCCUCUUCAUAAGUUCUUCAUAUAUUUUGGAUACUAACCCCUUAUCAAUAUGUCAUUUGCAAAUAUCUUCUCUCAUUCCAUAGGUUCCAUAGUUUUGUUGGUUGUUUCCUUUGCUGUACAAAAGCAUUUCAUUUUGAUGUAGUCUUAAUAGUUUAUUUUUGCCCUUGUUUCCUUUUCCUUAGGAAACGUACCUACAAAAAUGUUUCUAUGGCAGAUGUCAGAGAAGUUACUGCCUAUGCUCUCUUCUAGGAUUAUUAUGGUUUCAGAUCUCACAUUUAGGUCCUUAAUCCAUUUUGAGUUUAUUAUUCAGCCUUAAAAAAGGAAAUCCUUUAAGGAGCACAGAGUAGUAUGCAGAGUUGCUAAAUACUACAUUGGUACAUCUGAAACUAAUGUAAUGCUGUAUGUUAACUAUAUGGAAUUAAAAUUAAAAAAAAAAAAGAAAAAAGAAACCCUGCCAUUUGCAGUAACAUGGAUAAACCUGGGUGAUGUUAUGCUAACUGAAAUAAGCCAGACACAGAAUUACAAAUGCAUGAUCUCACUUAUAUGUGGAAUCUCAAAAAAACUUGAACUUAUUGUAACAGAGUAGAAUGGUGGUUACCAGGGAGUAGGUGUGGGGGAAAUAAGAGAUGUUGGUUAAAGGGUACUAAUUUUCAAGAUAAGUACUUAAAGAGUACUAACUACAAGAUAAGUAAGUUCUAGAUUCCUAAUGUAGAGCAUGAUGGCUACAGAUGUCUAUACUGUUUACUUGAAAUGUGCUAAAUACAUAGAUAUCAAGUGUUUAAUGGGAACUAUUUGAGGUGAUAUGUUAAUUUGCUUGAGUUGGGUAAUCAUUUCACAAUAUAUAGAUAUAUCAAAACAUCAUGUUGUACAACCUUAAAUACACACAAUUUUUAUUUGUCAAUCAUAUCUUUAAAAUAACACCUACAAAACAGGAAGUAUUAAGCUACAUGGCUGUAUGGGGAUCCGAGGCAGGAGGUGAAGACCCACAAAGCCCUGGUCCUGCAACUCAAUGCCACGAGGACUGUACCUGGACACUUGAAAGACCAGAACAUGAAAGCAUCAGACUCACCUUUCCUGCUUCAAGUAGAGACUUUGGUCUCCUAAAAAGGAUGGCUGAAGACUCUGGCCAUACUGACAAAUCUCUGUGGAAAGAUGUCAGCUGUGCCCAGAAGUUGUGGUAGGAAAACCCACAACCCAGCUGACGAUGGGAAUGGCUGACAGGCCCCUGACCGGACUGUGCUCCCCGACUGGCUCACAUGGAGGCUGAGAACUUGUCUCAGGUCACAUAAGAGCACGAGUAGGGAGAGGCGCAGAAGGAGAGGGAGGGAGAGAAUCUUAAGCGGGCUCCACGCUUAGUGUGGCUUCUUGGAAGCGGGGCUGGAUCUCAUGACCCUGAGAUCAUGACCUGAGUCUAAAUCAAGUUGGACGUUUAACCGCCUGAGCCACCCAGGUGCCCCUAAAUUAGCCCUUAUUCCAAAGGAUAAAUUCACCAAAACACUGAAUGAGUGUGAAAUACCCCGUUUCCAUAAACAUAAAACAUUUUCGGCAAAGAUUCACUGAAAAUAAAACUUUACUGUUUCCUUGAGACUAGUAAUUUCCAAAGUGGAUAGGUUUAUUUUUAAGGGCAACUAGAUCACUCUUUAACACACAUACGAUAGUUAUCAUACGUCUGCCAGAGAGAACCGCAGCCCCCUUGAUUCACACGCUUUCUUCCUUCAAUGCAGACCUCAGCGCUUCACACCGGAAACACACGAGAGAAGACCUCUGGCAAGAACCUGUAUCUGCUCAGGAAAGGAGGGGACUGUACACUUUCUGGGUUUACUGAGAUCAAACAGGAUGAAUUCUCUCAAUUUACCUCAAACGCUAAGUCUAAAGUAAUAAUCCCAACAAGGAACAGGCCGGUUCUGAUGUUUACUUUCUACCUACUGCUACGCUUUAUUGAAACAGAUAAUAACGGCCCCGGUGUAUACGUACGCCUGCCAAACACACUGUGCCUCAGCCGUUAUCCGAGCGUAAACACCACCCAAUCAGUGAUCUGAAUGAAAGGCUUUUAAGUCUUAGGUAUCUAAUUUUCCAUGAACAAUCAAUUAGAAAAAGAAAAAUCAUCAAAUACUCUAAGCAUUCUUUUUCAUACUCCUAAGACCAUAAAAUAAGCCCUAUUAUAAAUAAAAAAUGUACUUCUAUCAAAAACAUUAUACAACACAGACUCAUGGAUUGCAUUAAAAAUCCUUAACAUGUUUCAACACUGAAGCCAGAAACACACAUACAUUUCUGUCAGAGUGAACAAGACUGUAAACAAAAAUAAUUUAUAACCCUAUCGUGUUGUUAAAUCUCAGCGCACAGUACUGGAUUCACAGUAACACGUGGAGCUAAAAUGAACACUGAGGUCACCGUACGUAAGAUGGUGAUCGUCAAAUGCCAUUAAAUACUUGCCUUGAACUUGUGGGGUUUUGGCUUUCUAAUAAAUACGUAAUAAAUAUCUGUAGCGCA